rnacentral:rRNA from 1 species
UACGUAGGGUGCAAGCGUUAAUCGGAAUUACUGGGCGUAAAGCGUGCGCAGGCGGUUGUGCAAGACAGAUGUGAAAUCCCCGGGCUUAACCUGGGAAUGGCAUUUGUGACUGCACGGCUAGAGUGUGUCAGAGGGGGGUAGAAUUCCACGUGUAGCAGUGAAAUGCGUAGAUAUGUGGAGGAAUACCGAUGGCGAAGGCAGCCCCCUGGGCUGAGAUUGACGCUCAGGCACGAAAGCGUGGGGAGCAAACAGG